GUUGGAGCAAAAUCAGGUUUUGUUGGUAUAACCUUCUUGGUUGAGGUUGUGUCUUUUUUCUCCAUCAUUUCCGCAGCAUUAAUGUCUUUCUUUUCUACUUUAGGUUCUUCAAGCUUUGGCUUCAAAGCAAUAGGAUUCUCGAAAGCAUCCGGUCCAUUUCCUUUUAUAUCUCUCUCCAUUGCAACAAGAGCAUUAUAUUUCUCAAAAUAGAACUCCUUCAGCUUGUUGAACAUAUUGACAAUGGUUUGCUGGUCAAUAGAGAGACAUGGAUGAAUGAUGUGUCCAUAGACAUAAUAAGAACCAUCAAAGUGAGGUAUAACCAAGCAGCCAACAGCUAUUAGCUUAAUGUAAGGCCAAAAGGGACACCAUUCUAGUAGCUUCAAAAAAGCAUUUUCAAACAGCAAAAUCGAAGAGAAGCAGACCCAAUAUGUGAUCAGCCUCUGGGUUUCCGAGAUGGAAUUAGCUUGAAUCGAAGCAUAUAAGGGAUAACCCAAAGCAAAGAGAGGCCACGCAAGAACAUCAAAGCAGUCCCCUGAAAACUUGAAGAAAAUACC
rnacentral:misc_RNA from 1 species